ACGAUCUUAGAUUUCGAAGAACCCUAAAAUCCUCUAAAGAUCUUAAGCCUCCGUUUCUCCCAAAUCUCCUAUGUCGCCCUCCUUACUCUCUUCGAUCUCCGGCAGGCCUCCAUAACCACCAGCCUCCUGACGUCAUCGCUACGUCCACCCUCCUGAUGUCGUCGUUACCUCCUAGACCUUCUAUCGGUAAGUUGAUGUCCCUCCCCACCUAUUUUCUUGUAUCUGUGUGGGUUUCCUUUGCUCGGUUUGAGUUUUGGGACACUCUAUUUCCUAUUUGUGAGGUUGUAUGUGUUGCGGGUUUCCAUUCACUUUUUGACAGAAGAGCUGACUGGUGGUGUAGAAACACCAUAUCGCUGGCCCUGUUUUGUGGGUUCUAUUUUAUCUACUUUAUUUGGGAGCUGGUUGUUUUUUCCUCUCUGGUUUGUAAAGAUUGGGGCUUCUUCCAGGUGAUUCGUACACAACCACUGAGAUAGAUGUGCUCAAUUCUUCAUUUAUGUUAUAGAUUCAUGAGUUUUCUGGAAGUGACUCUAAUAUUCAUUUUGUUUCUUCCUAAGAAUAUUGCACUCCAUUUGUUUGUUGUUAUGCCUAUGAGAUCAUUCAACUUUUUCGUA